UAUACAAACUAGUAGAGAAAAUAAAGCAGAAGCCGUGGUCAUCACAAAACGAAGCGAAAUCAACAGAAGCUAUAUUCAACUAUCAUGGAUUCCACCGCCGUCUCCCACGCUGAUGAGUCGAUCGUGUAUUCUGCCGCCGUCUCCCACGCUGAUCACUCCAUCAUUGAUAAGGGAAACAAUUCCGUCAUUGCAUCAUGGUUUCAAUCCAUCACCACCCACCCUGGUCCGAUGUGUCCGAUGUGUAUGGAAAACAAUCCCGUCAUUGCAUCAUGGUUUGAAGCCAUCACCACCGACUCCGACUCCCACCCUGGUCCGAUGUGUAUGGAAAACAAUCCCGUCAUUGCAUCCGACUCCCACCCUGGUGGUCCGAUGUGUUUGGAAAACAAUCCUGUCACUGCAUCAUGGUUUCAAUCCAUCACCACCGACUCCGACUCCCACACUAUGGAAAACAAUCCGUCUGAAUCAAAAAUGGAUAUAUUUGUGGCAAAUGAUAAAACCAUCGCUGUCUCCCUCCCUGAUCCGAUCGCUGUCUCCCUCCCUUAUCCGAUGGAUAAGGGAAACAAUUCUUCCGAAUCAAAGAUGGAUGAAUCCGUGGAUAAGGGAACCAAGUCCUCCGAAUCAAAUAUGGAUGAACCCGUGGAUAAGGGAACCAAGUCCUCCGAAUCAAAUAUGGAUGAAUCCGUGGAUAAGGGAACCGAGUCCUCCGAUUCAAAUAUGGAUAAAUCCUUGUAUAAAGGAACCAAGUCCUCCGGAUCAAAGGUUAAGGAGUUGACGGAACAAUUUCCUGCUGCUACUCCUCUUGCUUUGGUGCUGAAACAGUUUUUGGCAGAUCGAAGCCUUGACCAGUCCUACUCUGGUGGCUUAAGUUCUUACUGUUUGGUACUACUAAUUAUACGUUUUCUUCAGCAUGAGCACCAUCUUGGCCGGCCGAUCAACCAAAAUUACGGAAGUCUUAUGGUUGAUUUUCUUUAUUUUUUUGGGAAUGUGUUUGAUCCCCGUCAAAUGCGGAUAUCAGUGCAAGGAAGUGGACUUUAUAUAAAAAGAGAAAGAGGUUGCAGCAUUGAUCCAAUUCACAUAGAUGAUCCUCUUUUUCCAACAAAUAAUGUGGGAAGGAAUUGCUUCAGAAUCCAUCAAUGUAUUAAGGCAUUUUCAGAAGCUUAUAUUGUUCUUGAAAAUGAACUGACGCUCAUAAAUGGUGAUGGCGAGUCAUGCUCGAAACCAUCUUACAGACUGCUUCCAAAAAUAAUCUCUAGUCUUGAUGUAUCGUAAAGAUUCUUGUUACAUGAAGACCGAUUAGUUUUGUCUGAAAGGUUCGUUCUUGGGUUUGUGCAAAGUUGUGCAUGCCAAGAAGAUAUUGGGUUGUUACUCUAGUGACUUGGAGUAUACAUGGAAUGAUGGAAACUGAAUCACUAUCCAAAGGCUUGCAUUCCAUGCGGGUGGGUCAAAACUUAAACAAUGCAAAUAUUUAUGAGUUGAUCUCCAGGCACUGCCUAAGAUGAUUACAAGAUUUUUCACUGUACUUGGUGCCAAGAACUAGCUUAGGACUUUAUCAUUCUGGUAUGGUGGAUCAUCUAUGGACUUUAAACUUGUUACUGGCUUGAUUACUGGUUCUCUGUCCUCUGCCGGUGAGUUCUUUAAUUCCUAGUGAAUAGCAUCAGUGGAGUUUCUCAGAACAUAAGGCAUAUUGCUGAUGCCACCACAAUUGAUUUGAAGAGCUGACACGCGGAAGGAAAUCUUCUGAUAACCACCUAACCACUGCUUCUCGUGAAAUCCUAUCUUAAAAGUUUGCAGACAAGGACAAUGAAUCAAGCCAUUUAAGUGUGUGUCUGGAUGGUCGGUGAAUUUGGUAAAAUCACUGUUGCACAGUGAUAGUGUUGAAGUUUUAGCUUUUGCCAAAAUGGUAAUGGCUCAUCAUGAUUCUGCCAAUCUCACUGGUAAGUGGUAACCCAAAUAUGCGCCAAGUACUCUCCAACAAGCAUCAUAGACUACAUGAUGCUGGAUUUAGACACUCCUUAUUGCCCAAAUUCCUACCAUAAUGCUACCUUUGAGAGCCGACGUUUUGCGGCGGCACUCUACAAUGCUUCAUAUUUUUCAAGUCAGCUCCUAUAUUUGUAGCCCUUUUUGCGACACUGAUAAUCAACUCUGAUACCAUAUGAUAAACAUCCAAACACUUGGUAUUCCUUCCCAUAAACGCCAACUAGGGCUGGCAAUGAACCACACUAACUCGAAAAUAGUUCGAAAUUCGAUUCGAAAAUUAAAUCGAUGAACUAUGUUCAUGAACCAAAUGAGCUGAGUAUGAGCUAAAAACUAAGUUCGUUAACUAAAUGAGUUGAGUUUGAACUAUACAUAGUUCGACUCGUUAGGUUCAUGAGUCAACUCGAUUAUAUAUAAGAUAGAUUAUAUUAUCUUUAAUAGUAGGUUUAAAUAUUUGCUCUAAAUCUUAGUAUCAUAUUUUAUUUUAAUCUAACGGUAUUAAUUGAUAAUUUAUAUUUUCUAGUGAGCAAAAUAUUUCUACAAAUAAUUAUACAAAUAAACAUCGUAUAAAUUUCAAUCUUAUAACUUUUAUUUAUUUCUAUAUUUUUUAUUUAAAAAAUAUUAAUUUAAAAUGUCAAAUGUAUAUGUAAAAAAGUAGACUUUAAAAAAUUACUUUUAAGUCCAUGAAAUAAGCGAGUCGAACCUAACAAGAUAAACCUAACGAGCUGAAACGAGAUGUUCGUGAACUUCUAACAAGUCGAGUUUGAUCUGAAAAAAAAGUUUGAGAUAAACUCGAACUCAAACUCGGCCAAUUCUUAACGAGUCGAGUUUGAGCUGGAAAAAUAAUUCGUCAUCAACUCGAACUCGGCCAAUUCUUAACGAGUCAAACUGAGCUGAGGCGAGUUCGACUCGACUCGACUCAUUUCCAGCCCUAACGCCAACUGUCAAGAGCGAAGAAUCAAACAACUUAAGGGCCCUUUGCUACAUGAUGUUGGACUUAGGCACCUCUUAAUACUCAAGUCCCAAUCAUCUUAUUGCAUGUUUUUCUCUAGAUAUUUUAUCUUUCUGUAAUUAUUUUCAUAUCAAAAUAAACUCUGAACACAGCAAAACAUAACAAUUGUUGUCAACUUUAUUUUGCACUUUAACUAAAUUUCGCAAUUUCGUAGUCUAAAUUCAUUUUGAAAUUAAGAUAGUUGUUGCCUUUCAACUCAUUGAAUAAAUAAUCUUAUUAUUAACUCAAAUUUAUUUUUAUGAAUAUGACAUGUCCCUGUUUCGUUUACUGGAUCUCCAUUUAUUUUGUGACACUUAUGCUGAAAAUGAUGUCACUUAUUCGAACCCAAAGUGAAGGAGUGGGGAUGUUUUAAUUAUUAUAAUACUCCCUCCGUCUCAUAAUAAGUGUCAUAUUUGAGUUUUGCGCGGUUUUUAAGAAAAUGAUUGGAUGUGUUGAUUUUAAUGAUAAAGUUAAUAUCAUUUACUAAAGUACCCUUAUUUCUUUUAGGUAGUAGAGUAGUUGAAAAACGUGAAAGUUAAUAAAUAGGGGUAUAGUAGCGGAAAAAAUUAAUAAAUGUUGCAUUGGUUUUCUAAAGAGACAUUUAUUUUGAGACAUGAAAAAAGUGCAAAUGAGACACUUAUUAUGAGACAGAUGGAUUAUUAUUAGUAACAACAUAUCCCUUAAUAUCUCAGCAAGUAAAUUUAACACAUUUUAGAAAAUGAUAAAAAAAGUUUUUACAAGAGAAAAUAAAAUCUUUAAUUUUAAACUGAUGAGUCAUGCCCUAGCCAGAUUUAUAAGAUAAAAAGACAACUUUCACCAGGGGGAUUCCGGGUUGGAUUGAGUAUAAUUUGAUUAAAUCAUAUACUCUAUCUAACAAAUAGUCUUUGGUUUUGGUUGAUUAAAUCAUAUACUCUAUCUAAAAAGAAAUAAUCCGACCCAAACUAACCCGCUCAUCAAUGAGUUGGUUCGUGGGUCACCCAUUAAAUAUAAUUUUUAAAUUCUAAAUAAAGUAUCAAUUUAAUUAACACAUUUAUUUUACAAAAAUAUUAAAAAAAUCAUAAAAUUUUGUAUUUAAUUUGAAUAAAAUUUAUUAUUUAAUAC